CUUCUGAUCCUGCAGGGAAGAGUGCCAGCACCUGAUGGAGGAGGCCAACAAAGUCCAGACAGAAAAGGAAGGAAGAGCAGACAAUGUUGGUUUUGGUGCCUGAGAUCUGAGUGCAUUCCCUGAGGAAUGGAGGUCCCUAAGGAGUUGUGAUGGGCCAGAAUGUUGACUCCAGAUGUUCCCAGCGCCCAGACUCGUUGGCUCAGGAGGACUCUGAAUGAUAAUAUCCCAUCAGCUGAGAUUUUUGAUGCAGAUUUUCCAGCCUAUGUUAUGACUCACAUUACAACAGUUACCUAAACAAAGAUCUUUGCUCUUUCUGGAUGAGUUUCCAGUGAUAAACGA
rnacentral:lncRNA from 10 species